rnacentral:rRNA from 1 species
CUUGAAACACGGACCAAGGAGUCUAACAUGUGCGCGAGUCAAAGGGUUAUGAAAACCUUAAGGCGAAAUGAAAGUGAAUUCUCUGCUUGCGGAGAUAAGGGAGGAUGGUGAUAUGUUAGUAGCGUACACCCGCACUCCCGGGGGGUUUCAAUGUCGAAUUUGCUUCGGUAAAUACGGCGAGGCCCACCAAGAGCGUACACGUUGGGACCCGAGAGAUGAUGAACUAAACCUGGUCAGGACGAAGUCAGGGGAAACCCUGAUGGAGGUCCGUCGAGAUUCUGACGUGCAAAUCGAUCUCUCGAACUGGGCUUAGGGGCGCAAGACCAAUCGAAUCAUCUGUUAGCUGGUUUCACCGGAAGUUUCCCU